GAUGAACGCUGACAGAAUGCUUAACACAUGCAAGUCUUUGGCGAAGCUGUGCUUGCACAGCCUAGCCAAGGCGGACGGGUGAGUAACGCGUAAGGAACUUGUCCUGCAGUCAGGGAUAACAGACGGAAACGACUGAUAAGACCUGGUAAAGUCAGGCGGACUCAUGUCCAGCCUGAUGAAAAGAGAUGCUGCAGGAGAGCCUUGCGUCCUAUUAGCUUGUUGGUGGGGUAACGGCCCACCAAGGCGAUGAUAGGUAGCCGGCCUGAGAGGGUGGACGGCCACAAGGGGACUGAGAUACGGCCCUUACUCCUACGGGAGGCAGCAGUGGGGAAUAUUGGACAAUGGGGGCAACCCUGAUCCAGCAAUUCUGUGUGCACGAUGAAGGUUUUCGGAUUGUAAAGUGCUUUCAGCAGGGAAGAAAAAAAUGACGGUACCUGCAGAAGAAGCGACGGCUAAAUACGUG
rnacentral:rRNA from 1 species